rnacentral:rRNA from 1 species
AACGAACGCUGGCGGCAUGCCUAACACAUGCAAGUCGGACGCCCCGCAAGGGGAGUGGCGCACGGGUGAGUAACGCGUGGGAACCUGCCCUGGAGUGGGGGAUAACCCGGCGAAAGCCGGGCUAAUACCGCAUGCGCCCCGGAGCAAUCUGGGGGAAAGAUUUAUCGCUCUAGGAUGGGCCCGCGUCGGAUUAGCUAGUUGGUGGGGUAACGGCCCACCAAGGCGAUGAUCCGUAGCUGGUCUGAGAGGAUGAUCAGCCACACUGGGACUGAGACACGGCCCAGACUCCUACGGGAGGCAGCAGUGGGGAAUAUUGGACAAUGGGCGCAAGCCUGAUCCAGCAAUGCCGCGUGAGUGAUGAAGGCCUUAGGGUUGUAAAGCUCUUUCGGCGGGGACGAUGAUGACGGUACCCGCAGAAGAAGCCCCGGCUAACUUCGUGCCAGCCGCCGCCGUAAUAC